rnacentral:lncRNA from 1 species
AGACAGGCAGGGUCGGGCCUGGGGGCUGGCAGGUUGCAGGACAGCUUCCUCCCUCUGGCCUGCUGAUGGAUCCCACCCCAGAGAUCCCAGCCGUGACCAGGCCUGGAGAAGACCGAGGUGCCCCGGGAGGCGGCUCUGGUGACAAAGGCAUGCAGAGCACCCCUGCCUUAGGACUGGGUCCACCCUACGAGGCAGGUCUUUAAGACAGGACCAUACCAGCCUCACCUGCAGAGCACAUCAGAAAGCCAGCCCUCACCGCAGAGGCCCUCCCCAGCCUCUCCUGCCGCUCCGGCUGGCACCCGGCUGUGGGAGUCCAUGCACCUCUGCCUCCUGAGCGCCCUCCUGCAGGCGGCCGGCUGGCAGCGGCACUGAGCUGGACUGGGCUGGGCUGUAACAGCAGGCUGCUCUCCCUAAAGGCCCACACCACCUGAGCCCAGUGGCCUCCACCAGCUCGGUCCAGCCCCUGAGGCAGUUCCCAAGAGAACUCCCCACAGCAGCCUGUGCUGGCCAAGGAGAUGGCAACGAGCGUCCACACGGGGCCUCAUGGGAGGGUGGCCUCCAAGACCUAAGCAUGGAAGAUGUCGACAGGCGUGGAGGGAGGCCCACCUCUCACUGACCACAGACGUAAGUGUCCAGGGCUCAGCACGGGAAGCCUGGAGACCAGGAAACCAGCCCCCCUGCCCUUGCUCCCACCACAGGCCACCAUGAAGGCUCUUCCUUUAAAAAUUCCUUUUAUGCUGUUACAAUGUUGUUUUUGCAAUAAAUAAAAUUCCAGGGAUAAAAGAAAAGAGGCAGAGAGGGAGAUGUAUGAG